rnacentral:rRNA from 1 species
GUCCAUACUGUAAACGUUGUUGAUUAGGUCUUGGAGCAUUCGAACGCUCCAGGGCUCAAGCUAACGCAAUAAAUCAACCGCCUGAGGACUACGGCCGCAAGGCUAAAACUCAAAGGAAUUGACGGGGGCCCGCACAAGCGGUGGAGCAUGUGGCUUAAUUCGAUGCAACGCGAAGAACCUUACCCGGAUUUGACAUGGUUGUGGUAGAACACUGAAAGGUGGACGACCCCGCAAGGGGAGCAAUCACAGGUGCUGCAUGGCUGUCGU